CGUCAUCAUCUCCGCGAAUUGCAACGGGUAAAAAACUUUCCCCAUACCCAUCCCCACACGCGAAAUUAAUCCCAUAGGUUCCUGUCCCCACUUAAAUAAUAUACUCUCUCUAUUUAUUUUUAUUUGACGCUCUAGCUCAAACCGAAUCUUUUUUUUUGGCGUUUGCAGUUAAGCCCACCUCCUCCCAUACGUGAAUUUUCAUCCUUGCCCCUGAUGCCUCCUUCGUCCUCCUCCCUCUCCGAUGCACCGGACCCCGACGACCGCAGCCUCCUUCCUCCUCCUCCCUCUCCAACGCACCGGACGCCGACGACCGCAGCAGAGAUCCAUGCUUCCAGCGGGCGCCGUGCACGCAGACAAGAUCGAGCUCUCAACCCGUGUCCAUCUGCUGCCAUACCUCCACAUCUCCUUGCUCAUCCUGCCAAACUCCAACUCUCCAAUAUCCAAGAACCUUCUUUCUAAUGCAGAGAGCCUUCUUUCUGAAGCAGAUCCAAGAACCUUCCAGAUCAAGCACAUGCCUUUCAAUUUACGGAGUAUGUGAGGAAGAAGAGGAAGGGCAAGACGACAACGAGGGUGUUCAGGAGACAUGGUUAGCAGGCCAGUGAGGUCAAGAAUAUCAACGCACAGAAAAGGAAGAACUGCAGCACAACCAUGGCUUCUCCCUCCUCAUCUACGGCUGGAAGUGCUACCAAUUAGCAACACCUAGCAAGCAUUCGUUCCGUUGAUUAUUGGAGUAAUCCAGUGAGAUUUUUUCCUGUUCCACUAGAGUACUGAUAUGCUUAUGAGUAGUACUGAUGAAAUUAGAUGUGAAUUUUGUAUGUAUGCAAUCUGAAUCGGAGGACAUCAAAUGUGAUGUGACUUGAAGUACUGUCAGUAUGACAAACGUGAAUUGUGCUUGUAAUGUUAAUUGGAGUACUUUGAAUACCAGAUUGUUAAGUAUGUUUGGGGAGUACAUGUUCUGAAUGUCAGUUGGAGUAUUGGUUAGAACAUUGUUGAAUUGGAGUACAUGUUCUGAAGAUGGCAAAGUACCACAUAGGUCUGCAAGAAAACACCAUAUAAAGAGGAUUUGUUUUCUUUUUCAAAUGCAUUUUUAGCAUAAUUUGAGUAUCUAUUUUGUUCCAUCUGCUAUUCUAGAACUAUAAAUAAGAAC
rnacentral:lncRNA from 1 species